GUAACAAGGUUUCCGUAGGUGAACCUGCGGAAGGAUCAUUGUCGAAACCCAAGUAAGAAAGACUUGUUAACAUGUAGCAAUACACGAUUUGAUUGUCGGGGCCAUCUUUUUGGUUUGCCCAUGACGAACAAAAACACCGGCGCAGCAGCGUCAAGGAUUUCAGAACGAGAAUGCAACCCGCAGAGCUCUACUCUGAUGUUUGUGAGGUUGGCAUCCUUUAAAUAAAAAUGACUCUCGGCAAUGGAUAUCUCGGCUCUCGCAUCGAUGAAGAACGUAGCGAAAUGCGAUACUUGGUGUGAAUUGCAGAAUCCCGUGAACCAUCGAAACUUUGAACGCAAGUUGCGCCUCAAGCCAUUAGGUUGAGGGCACGCUUGCUUGGGUGUCAUGCAUUGUGUCUCCCCUCUGGUGUGUGGAGUGGGAAGAGAUCGUGGCCUCCUGGGCCCUUCCUUGGGUGUGGUUGGCCGAAAUUGUCGUCCUUGAUUUCGUGAUGUCUUGGUGUGCGGUGGAUGUACCCAGYGUGCAUAAUUGUCAGCCUUGCUCGACUUCAUUGUGGCGUUGGGAUCCUAUGAAGCUGUCAGUGUUGGCUCUUUGAUUGCGACCCCAAGUCAGGCGAGACUACCCGCUGAGUUUAAGC
rnacentral:rRNA from 1 species